UACAGAGGGUGCGAGCGUUGUUCGGAAUUAUUGGGCGUAAAGGGCGCGUAGGCGGCCUGAUAAGUCAAAGGUGAAAUCCCUCGGCUCAACUGAGGAAUUGCCUUUGAAACUGUCAGGCUUGAGGCCGGGAGGGGGUGGCGGAAUUCCCAGUGUAGCGGUGAAAUGCGUAGAUAUUGGGAGGAACACCAGUGGCGAAGGCGGCCACCUGGACCGGUUCUGACGCUGAUGCGCGAAAGCGUGGGGAGCAAACAGG
rnacentral:rRNA from 1 species